UACAGAGGGGGCAAGCGUUGUUCGGAAUUACUGGGCGUAAAGGGCGCGUAGGCGGCCCGCUAAGUCGAACGUGAAAUCCCCGGGCUCAACCCGGGAACUGCGUCCGAUACUGGCAGGCUUGAAUCCGGGAGAGGGAUGCGGAAUUCCAGGUGUAGCGGUGAAAUGCGUAGAUAUCUGGAGGAACACCGGUGGCGAAGGCGGCAUCCUGGACCGGCAUUGACGCUGAGGCGCGAAAGCGUGGGGAGCGAACCGG
rnacentral:rRNA from 1 species